UACGUAGGGUGCGAGCGUUGUCCGGAAUUACUGGGCGUAAAGAGCUCGUAGGUGGUUUGUCGCGUUGUUCGUGAAAACUCACAGCUCAACUGUGGGCGUGCGGGCGAUACGGGCAGACUGGAGUACUGCAGGGGAGACUGGAAUUCCUGGUGUAGCGGUGGAAUGCGCAGAUAUCAGGAGGAACACCGGUGGCGAAGGCGGGUCUCUGGGCAGUAACUGACGCUGGAGGAGCGAAAGCGUGGGGAGCGAACAGGA
rnacentral:rRNA from 1 species